rnacentral:rRNA from 1 species
UGAGGAAUAUUGGUCAAUGGGCGGAAGCCUGAACCAGCCAAGUCGCGUGAGGGAAGACGGUCCUAUGGAUUGUAAACCUCUUUUGCAGGGGAGCAAGACGCGGUACGUGUACCGUGCUGGAGAGUACCCUGAGAAAAAGCAUCGGCUAACUCCGUGCCAGCAGCCGCGGUAAUACGGAGGAUGCGAGCGUUAUCCGGAUUUAUUGGGUUUAAAGGGUGCGUAGGCGGGUCGGUAAGUCAGUUGUGAAAGUUCGGGGGCUCAACCCCGGCAAUUGCAGUUGAAACUGCCGGUCUUGAGUACACGCAGGGAAGCCUGAAUUCAUGGUGUAGCGGUGAAAUGCUUAGAUAUCACGCAGAACUCCGAUUGCGAAGGCAGCAUACCGGCGCUCAACUGACGCUCAUGCACGAAAGCGUGGGUAUCGAACAGGAUUAGAUACC